rnacentral:rRNA from 1 species
GAGCGGUAAGGCCCUUCGGGGUACACGAGCGGCGAACGGGUGAGUAACACGUGGGUAACCUGCCCUGUACUCUGGGAUAAGCCCGGGAAACUGGGUCUAAUACCGGAUAUGACCCUGGUGCGCAUGGUGCGGGGUGGAAAGUUCCGGCGGUACAGGAUGGACCCGCGGCCUAUCAGCUUGUUGGUGGGGUAAUGGCCUACCAAGGCGACGACGGGUAGCCGGCCUGAGAGGGUGACCGGCCACACUGGGACUGAGACACGGCCCAGACUCCUACGGGAGGCAGCAGUGGGGAAUAUUGCACAAUGGGCGAAAGCCUGAUGCAGCGACGCCGCGUGAGGGAUGACGGCCUUCGGGUUGUAAACCUCUUUCAGCAGGGACGAAGCGCAAGUGACGGUACCUGCAGAAGAAGCACCGGCUAACUACGUGCCAGCAGCCGCGGUAAUACGUAGGGUGCGAGCGUUGUCCGGAAUUAUUGGGCGUAAAGAGCUCGUAGGCGGUUUGUCGCGUCGGCCGUGAAAACUUGGGGCUUAACCCCGAGCCUGCGGUCGAUACGGGCAGACUUGAGUUCGGCAGGGGAGACUGGAAUUCCUGGUGUAGCGGUGAAAUGCGCAGAUAUCAGGAGGAACACCGGUGGCGAAGGCGGGUCUCUGGGCCGAUACUGACGCUGAGGAGCGAAAGCGUGGGGAGCGAACAGGAUUAGAUACCCUGGUAGUCCACGCCGUAAACGGUGGGUGCUAGGUGUGGGGGACUUCCACGUUCUCCGUGCCGCAGCUAACGC